rnacentral:rRNA from 1 species
UACGUAGGGUGCGAGCGUUGCCCGGAAUCACUGGGCGUAAAGCGCACGUAGGCGGAUUGCUAAGUCAGGGGUGAAAUCUCGGAGCUUAACUCCGAAACUGCAUUCGAUACUGCCGUGCUUGAGGACUGGAGAGGAGACUGGAAUUUACGGUGUAGCGGUGAAAUGCGUAGAUAUCGUAAGGAAGACCAGUGGCGAAGGCGGGUCUCUGGACAGUUCCUGACGCUGAGGCACGAAGGUCAGGGGAGCAAACGGG